GCGCACGGGUGAGUAAUAUAUAGAUAACGUGCCUCUUAGUCUGGGAUAGCCAUUGGAAACGGUGAUUAAUACCGGAUACUCCUUUUCAUUUCAAGAUGAAUCGGGAAAGUUUUUCGCUAAGAGAUCGGCCUAUAUCCCAUCAGCUUGUUGGUAGUGUAAGAGACUACCAAGGCAAUGACGGGUAGCGGGUUUGAGAGGAUGAUCCGCCACACUGGUACUGAGACACGGACCAGACUCC
rnacentral:rRNA from 1 species